rnacentral:rRNA from 1 species
AUUUAACGCUGGCGGCAGGCCUAACACAUGCAAGUCGAACGAGUGGCGGACGGGUGAGUAAUGUCUGGGAAACUGCCUGAUGGAGGGUGAUAACUACUGGAAACGGUAGCUAAUCCCGCAUACCAUCAGAUGUGCCCAGAUGGGAUUAGCUAGUUUGUGGGGUAACGGCUCACCAAGGCGACGCUCCCUAGCUGGUCUGAGAGGAUGACCAGCCCAACUGGAACUGAGACACGUUCCCGACUCCUACAGGAGGCAUGAGUCGGUAAUAGUGCACAAUGGGCGCAAGCCAGAUGCAGCCAUGCCGCGUGUAUGAAGAAGGCCUUCGGGUUGUAAAGUACUUGCAGCGGGGAGGCGUUACCCGCAGAAGAAGCACCGGCUAACUCCGUGCCAGCAGCCACGGUAAUAC